UGACCGCGGCUGCUGGCACGUAGUUAGCCGGGGCUUUCUGGUGAGGUACCGUCAAGGUGCCGCCCUAUUCGAACGGCACUUGUUCUUCCCUCACAACAGAGCUUUACGAUCCGAAGACCUUCAUCGCUCACGCGGCGUUGCACCGUCAGACUUGCGUCCAUUGCGGAUGAUUCCCUACUGCUGCCUCCCGUAGGAGUCUGGGCCGUGUCUCAGUCCCAGUGUGGCCGAUCACCCUCUCAGGUCGGCUACGCAUCGUCGCCUUGGUGAGCCGUUACCUCACCAACUAACUAAUGCGCCGCGGGCCCAUCUGUGAGUGAUAGCUAGAAGCCAUCUUUGAUCAUCGAACCAUGCGGUUCGAUGCGUUAUCCGGUAUUAGCCCCGGUUUCCCGGAGUUAUCCCCGUCUCACAGGUAGGUUGCCCACGUGUUACUCACCCGUCCGCCGCUCGUUCCACGAGCGUCCACCCCGAAGGGCUUCUGCUCGCUUCCCGCGCUCGACUUGCAUGUAUUAGGCACGCCGCCAGCGUUCGUCCUGAGCCAUGAUCAAACUC
rnacentral:rRNA from 1 species